AGAUAAAAAAGAGGAUUAGUUUUAUGACAGUACAAUUUCCAGACAUACCAAACAGAUUUUGGCCAAGGAAAUUCAAUAUUGAAAUGCAAUUUUAUCACAGAUUAUCAGGCCAGCCCAGUUUCUCAGAAGUUGUGGAAGGGAAGAGGCAUACUGAAUACUUGUGCUAGAGGAGAGAGCAGGCCUAGUACAAGGCCAAGUAAAAGAGAAAGAAAGAAGAGCAGAUGCUUGUGAUCCAUGCUUCUUCCAUCUGUUUUCACCUUCUAUUUAAAUUAUCCUUCCACGCCCUCAGUAAAUACUACUUCAACCCUAUUUCCUUUUUUUACUUUUAAUAUGAAGUAGUCCUUUGUCAUAGACUACAGGAAAGCAAAAGAAACCAUUGAGGAGAAGGAUUAUAUUUAUAACAUUCAUUUACUGUAAGACACGUAUGAUGUCAUCUACAGUGAAGAUCCUCAUACAUUCAUGUUUGAUUUGCCCUAAUUUUCCCUCCCCGGCAUGCCGGCCAUGUGCUUAUCAGAGCUGGGAUUCAGGGAUAUCUGUUAAUGAUGCACCUACAAAAACACACACAUAAGCACGAACCUCUUUCUUCCAUGGUUUAAAAGAAAACUGAACAAAACAAAGCACCCACAUGUACAUACAUUCAAAAAAUAACAUCCAUGAGAACUGCAGCAGCCUACUGAUUGUUCAGCCACAGGUGUUGCUUUUUCCCAUAAUCCAAUAGUCCUCUUCCCAAGUGGAGGUAGUUCUGUCUUAACGAGUUUCCAGCAGUGGGUUUCAGGCAUUUUUACUUUUCCUGUGCUCUGGCUUUCCUUUGAAGGAUAAGGCUCUGUGCAGUUAUUAAUGAAUGAAGUGCCAGAUCUUUUCCCUCCAGCUGCAGGGUGCAGGAUGGAAAACUCAGUCCUGCUUCUCCCAGGCAAGUGUUGAUAAUGAAUAAAGCUUCUUUCCCCUUCUUUCUCUCCUACACAACAGUGUGAUUCCCUGCUAACUAUUACCUUUCUAAUUUGACUCGUGUGAUGCUGAGGUGCGUAAAGGUGACUUAAAAAGCAAGUGAUAGAGGCAGGAUCAGUGUUCUGAAUGAUCAAGUGCUGUUGCCUUUCCAGAUGGCUUUGCCUGCCAACUAAAGGAGAGCCUUGCUGCAUUGUGGAGCCUUUGUAAUGCUCCUGGCCUCAGCAGUUGGUGGAUUGGAGCCUAAAAGAGGAGAGUGUCUCUUGCCGACUUUGAAAGUGUUCAUUGGUAAACAAAGAAAUAGCUUCACUGUGAGACUUAGUCCUGGGUGAUUUGCAAAAUGAACGUAAAAGGGAGCCAACAUGCAGCCAUGUGUAUCUGUCAGGGUUUUUUUUUGUUGUACGCGAUGGUAGUAUAACUGAAGUUUGAAUCUGAUGCAUGAAAAUAAUUUGAAUAUAGUUAUUUCGUGACCCUUUGAUGCUAUAUCUUAUUUUAGGAACUUCUUUACAUUUCAAAAUGGUAGAUUAGUAAUAUUCAGGCCAACUAAACAGAGAACACCCUUGAAAAUCUUUGACUGAAACCAAGCUUCUCCUGUUAUUGUUACUCAUGGGACUUCUUGAAAUAGAACUUCUGACUUGGUGGCAAAAUAAGUAUGGGGUUUUUUUUGUUUUUUUUUUUUUUGUUUUUUCCUGGAUUAGAAUUUAUAACUUCUUGCUUUUUGUUUAGAAGCAGAACUGUGGCUUUCCCCUGUGUGUUUCUGACUCUGGUAGAUUUUAUUUUUUCUUUCUGUUCAGUUGAAGGGAGAGUAAAAUUAGAUGAAAGCUGAGGAAAACACCGCUUCUCAUACUUCAGCUGACUUGCAUUUUAAGUGAAGUAGGGUAUAGUAAAACACUUCCCCUUCCUUGCAUAGAUUCGGCCUUUAAGAUGGCAACAUGUUUCCCUCUCGCGCUCCAUCAUAUUACAAGAAGAUGACUGAGAACAAAG